UGCAAAAUUACCCGCCGAUGCCAUCCGUAAUGCUGCCCACCUGAUCCGCCCAUACCGAUCUGGAAUUCUGGAUCCGAUCCACCCACGGUCGUCUCUUUCUCUCCUGUGGAGAUGCCAUAGCAUGGCUGCCGCCCCCCUGUGUACAUAUGUAAACUCAUGUCCUCAAGUACCUUCACCUAUGUAUGUGGUCGUCUGCAUCAUUGAGCUCAUUCUGUUCCAGGUACCUUGAUGUCUUCCCGUAGUUUUGGUCUUGCUCGUAACUGUAGUAGAGGCCCGCAUCAGUUCCUGACAUCGUUGUAAAGCUAUUCUCUAUUCGGUACGGGUCUGAAUUAAAUAACCGGUCACUGAACAAAUCAGCCUAGCCAGAUGCAGCUAAACCUUCAUUUCUUUAAUUAGUUCGGUGAUUUACUGAUUACCAUAGGGAUUUGAGUACUACAAGCCUAACAUAUAGCUUCAUCCGUAUUGAAUCUAGAAGGCAAUUGAUGAAUUGGUUCAAUAAUCCAGUAGAAAUUAAUGAAAUUGGAAUUUACCAAAUCAUGGCACAUUGUUGGAUAGAAAGGUUAGGAUGGGGUUGUUUGGUAUGUUUGAAUUAGUGAGCCUGUCAUCUACAGAAAAAAGAACUACCAGUUCAGAUCAUGGAGCACGUGCGAUAUUUAAGAUAAUUCUGUUUGGGAGUAGCUUCUGCUAAUAGGCUUUCCCACAGGUGUGAGAGCUGCAAGACAAGGUCUAUGUCGCGAUCUGCCAAUCUGGUACGAUUCAUCAACCGCGCUUCUACUUCUGCUGCUUAAAUUUUUACUUGCCCCUCUAUUUGUACAAUUAGUUUGGUUGGGUAAGAUGGAUGGGAUGGGAUAGCGGAUGGGUAUUGUGUACGUAAUUCAGCACCAGGGGAAGGAACCGACACAAGGGAAAUAGCAUGGAUCUGAUAGCUGCUCCGCGUAAUUUAGCACCUGCAUAUUUUUCUGAACUAUCUGGUGUACAUUCUCCAUAUGCUUUGGAUAGUGGAGUACUACUGUGUAUUUACUGGUGUGCUAUGUUCAGUUAAGUGUUACGCUGCUAUCUACAUUCACAAUAUCUUUUUGUUGACAUGCGAAAUGAUCUCCCUAACAUAUGGGGUUAUACAAAAAAAAACAUUUAAGUGAAUUCAUUGGCCAUCUAUAGUCGUAUAGAGUGGUGCCAGACAGGACAAUUCACUAAUGUAAGACCUUUUAGCAAGCUAAUUUAGAUGGAAUACAAUAUUAGUGCUACCAAUUUGUAAUGUGUAUAGAUGAAAGAAAAACUGCUACCAGUGAGUUCUUGCAUCUUAGGUUAGUUUAUUGAGUGAUGAUCAAGAAAGACAAUGACAGAUGUGCAAAGAAGCAAUGAUAUAUUCCAACUCUUUCAGUCAUGUACCUCUAUCAUGUCUGUUUUUCUCCUUUGCAGGACCAUGUGGUGGUCUUUUGUUUUUUGUGGUAGUUCUUUCAUGCAUACUGUUAACAGCCAAAUCCAUCUUACUAAUAUUUAUUUGCAGGCGGGGUUCAUUGCUAGGAUUAUUCUCUAUUUUUGUAUGAAGUACUUUCAAAUGGUCAAAUUUUUACUGACCAAGCUCUUCGCUGAUUUUUGUUACACACGGGUCUUACACUUCAUCGUAUAUGAAAAACAGUAACUUUUUUUUGUAUGUUUAGUCGUUGAUUUUUCUUACUUCAUAGGUGGUCCUUACAUACUUGGGCAAACAGAGACUAAUAAGAAUGUACAUGAUCAUGCAUUGAUGCAUGGAGUUAUGUAACUUGGACUGUAACAGUAACUACAAAGGCCUCAUAUAUAUGCAUCAGCUAGGAAUCCUAAGCUUCUUUAAUUAAUAUUUAAUGAUUCAAA